CCUACGGGAGGCAGCAGUAGGGAAUCUUCCGCAAUGGGCGAAAGCCUGACGGAGCAACGCCGCGUGAGUGAUGAAGGUCUUCGGAUCGUAAAACUCUGUUAUUAGGGAAGAACAAAUGUGUAAGUAACUGUGCACGUCUUGACGGUACCUAAUCAGAAAGCCACGGCUAACUACGUGCCAGCAGCCGCGGUAAUA
rnacentral:rRNA from 1 species